rnacentral:rRNA from 1 species
GACGAACGCUGGCGGCGUGCUUAACACAUGCAAGUCGAACGGAAAGGCCCUGCUUUUGUGGGGUGCUCGAGUGGCGAACGGGUGAGUAACACGUGAGUAACCUGCCCUUGACUUUGGGAUAACUUCAGGAAACUGGGGCUAAUACCGGAUAGGAGCUCCUGCUGCAUGGUGGGGGUUGGAAAGUUUCGGCGGUUGGGGAUGGACUCGCGGCUUAUCAGCUUGUUGGUGGGGUAGUGGCUUACCAAGGCUUUGACGGGUAGCCGGCCUGAGAGGGUGACCGGGACAAGGGGGAUGAUGAUAGGCAGCAGGCUGCAACCUGAGGCAGCGGGGGGGAGUGUGGCAGACUGGGGGGGGGGCUGUACAGGUGUGCCUGCGGGGGGGAAGCGGGCUUACGGGUGAUGAACAAAUUGCGACGGAGACAAAGCGUGCGUGACGGUAAGGUAUAAGAAAGGAACGGCUAAUUACGUG